AUUGAACGCUGGCGGCAGGCUUAACACAUGCAAGUCGAGCGGGGGAAGGUAGCUUGCUACCGGACCUAGCGGCGGACGGGUGAGUAAUGCUUAGGAAUUUGCCUAUUAGUGGGGGACAACAUCUCGAAAGGGAUGCUAAUACCGCAUACGUCCUACGGGAGAAAGCAGGGGAUCUUCGGACCUUGCGCUAAUAGAUGAGCCUAAGUCGGAUUAGCUAGUUGGUGGGGUAAAGGCCUACCAAGGCGACGAUCUGUAGCGGGUCUGAGAGGAUGAUCCGCCACACUGGGACUGAGACACGGCCCAGACUCCUACGGGAGGCAGCAGUGGGGAAUAUUGGACAAUGGGGGGAACCCUGAUCCAGCCAUGCCGCGUGUGUGAAGAAGGCCUUAUGGUUGUAAAGCACUUUAAGCGAGGAGGAGGCUACUCUAGUUAAUACCUAGGGAUAGUGGACGUUACUCGCGGAAUAAGCACCGGCUAACUCUGUGCCAGCCGCCGCCGUAA
rnacentral:rRNA from 1 species